rnacentral:rRNA from 1 species
AGAUUGAACGCUGGCGGCAGGCCUAACACAUGCAAGUCGAACGGUAGAGAGGUGCUUGCAUCUCUUGAGAGCGGCGGACGGGUGAGUAAUGCCUAGGAAUCUGCCUAGUGGUGGGGGAUAACGUUCGGAAACGGACGCUAAUACCGCAUACGUCCUACGGGAGAAAGCGGGGGACCUUCGGGCCUCGCGCCAUUAGAUGAGCCUAGGUCGGAUUAGCUAGUUGGUGAGGUAAUGGCUCACCAAGGCGACGAUCCGUAACUGGUCUGAGAGGAUGAUCAGUCACACUGGAACUGAGACACGGUCCAGACUCCGUACGGGAGCAGCAGUGGGGGAAUAUUAGGACAAGUGGGACGAAAGCC